UGGGGAAUAUUGGACAAUGGGGGCAACCCUGAUCCAGCCAUGCCGCGUGUGUGAAGAAGGCCUUAUGGUUGUAAAGCACUUUAAGCGAGGAGGAGGGUACUGGUAUUAAUACUACCAGCUACUGGACGUUACUCGCAGAAUCAGCACCGGCUAACCCUGUGCCAGCAGCCGCGGUAAUACAGCGGGUGCAAGCGUUAAUCGGAAUUACUGGGCGUAAAGCGCGCGUAGGUGGUUCGUUAAGUUGAAUGUGAAAGCCCCGGGCUCAACCUGGGAACUGAAGCCAAAACUGGCGAGCUAGAGUAGGGCAGAGGGUGGUGGAAUUUCCUGUGUAGCGGUGAAAUGCGUAGAUAUAGGAAGGAACACCAGUGGAGAAGGCAACCACCUGGGCUCAUACAGACACUGAGGUGCGAAAGCGUGGGGAGCAAACAGG
rnacentral:rRNA from 1 species